CCUACGGGGGGCAGCAGUGGGGGAUAUUGCACAAUGGGGGAAACCCUGAUGCAGCGACGCCGCGUGUGGGAAGACGGUCCUCUGGAUUGUAAACCACUGUCGCCAGGGACGAAGAUGACGGUACCUGGGGAGGAAGCUCCGGCUAACGACGUGCCAGCAGCCGCGGUAAUACGUAGGGAGCGAGCGUUGUCCGGAAUUACUGGGUGAAAGGGGAGCGUAGGCGGGACUGCAAGUUGGGUGUCAAAUCUACCGGCUCAACCGGUAGCCGCACUGAAAACUGCAGUUCUUGAGUGAAGUAGAGGCAGGCGGAAUUCCUAGUGUAGCGGUGAAAUGCGUAGAUAUUAGGAGGAACACCAGUGGCGAAGGCGGCCUGCUGGGCUUUUACUGACGCUGAGGCUCGAAAGUGUGGGGAGCAAACAGGAUUAGAUACCCUGGUAGUC
rnacentral:rRNA from 1 species